rfam:Corchorus capsularis cultivar CVL-1 contig10886, whole genome shotgun sequence.
UGAAGAAACAUCAUUGAGUGCAGCGUUGAUGAACUUUUUUCGCUAAUUUUUCCGAGAUGAUUUCGCCAGCGCUGCACUCAAUCAUGUUUUUG